GACGGGGGUUGCGAGCGUUAUCCGGAAUGAUUGGGCGUAAAGGGUCCGCAGGUGGCCCGGUCAGUCCGCUGUCAAAGCCUGGGGCUCAACCCUGGAGAGGCGGCGGAGACUACCGGGCUUGAGUCCGGUAGGGGCAGAGGGAAUUCCCGGUGGAGCGGUGAAAUGCGUAGAGAUCGGGAAGAACAUCGGUGGCGAAAGCGCUCUACUGGACCGCAACUGACACUCAGGGACGAAAGCUAGGGGAGCGAAUGGG
rnacentral:rRNA from 1 species